rnacentral:rRNA from 1 species
UUAAGCGACUAAGCGUACACGGUGGAUGCCCUGGCAGUCAGAGGCGAUGAAGGACGUGCUAAUCUGCGAAAAGCGUCGGUAAGGUGAUAUGAACCGUUAUAACCGGCGAUGUCCGAAUGGGGAAACCCAGUGUGAUUCGUCACACUAUCGUUAACUGAAUACAUAGGUUAACGAGGCGAACCGGGGGAACUGAAACAUCUAAGUACCCCGAGGAAAAGAAAUCAACCGAGAUUCCCCCAGUAGCGGCGAGCGAACGGGGAGCAGCCCAGAGUCUGAAUCAGCUUGUGUGUUAGUGGAACGGUCUGGAAAGUCCGACGGUACAGGGUGAUAGUCCCGUACACCAAAAUGCACAGGUUGUGAACUCGAAGAGUAGGGCGGGACACGUGGUAUCCUGUCUGAAUAUGGGGGGACCAUCCUCCAAGGCUAAAUACUCCUGACUGACCGAUAGUGAACCAGUACCGUGAGGGAAAGGCGAAAAGAACCCCGGCGAGGGGAGUGAAAAAGAACCUGAAACCGUGUACGUACAAGCAGUGGGAGCACCUUCGGGUGUGACUGCGUACCUUUUGUAUAAUGGGUCAGCGACUUAUAUUCUGUAGCAAGGUUAACCGUAUAGGGGAGCCGCAGGGAAACCGAGUCUUAACUGGGCGUUAAGUUGCAGGGUAUAGACCCGAAACCCGGUGAUCUAGCCAUGGGCAGGUUGAAGGUUGGGUAACACUAACUGGAGGACCGAACCGACUAAUGUUGAAAAAUUAGCGGAUGACUUGUGGCUGGGGGUGAAAGGCCAAUCAAACCGGGAGAUAGCUGGUUCUCCCCGAAAGCUAUUUAGGUAGCGCCUCGUGAAUUCAUCUUCGGGGGUAGAGCACUGUUUCGGCUAGGGGGUCAUCCCGACUUACCAACCCGAUGCAAACUACGAAUACCGAAGAAUGUUAUCACGGGAGACACACGGCGGGUGCUAACGUCCGUCGUGAAGAGGGAAACAACCCAGACCGCCAGCUAAGGUCCCAAAGUCAUGGUUAAGUGGGAAACGAUGUGGGAAGGCACAGACAGCCAGGAUGUUGGCUUAGAAGCAGCCAUCAUUUAAAGAAAGCGUAAUAGCUCACUGGUCGAGUCGGCCUGCGCGGAAGAUGUAACGGGGCUAAACCAUGCACCGAAGCUGCGGCAGCGACACUAUGUGUUGUUGGGUAGGGGAGCGUUCUGUAAGCCUGCGAAGGUGACCUGUGAGGGUUGCUGGAGGUAUCAGAAGUGCGAAUGCUGACAUAAGUAACGAUAAAGCGGGUGAAAAGCCCGCUCGCCGGAAGACCAAGGGUUCCUGUCCAACGUUAAUCGGGGCAGGGUGAGUCGACCCCUAAGGCGAGGCCGAAAGGCGUAGUCGAUGGGAAACAGGUUAAUAUUCCUGUACUUGGUGUUACUGCGAAGGGGGGACGGAGAAGGCUAUGUUAGCCGGGCGACGGUUGUCCCGGUUUAAGCAUGUAGGCUGAUUGUCCAGGCAAAUCCGGAUAAUCAAGGCUGAGGUGUGAUGACGAGGCACUACGGUGCUGAAGUAACAAAUGCCCUGCUUCCAGGAAAAGCCUCUAAGCAUCAGGUAACAUUAAAUCGUACCCCAAACCGACACAGGUGGUCAGGUAGAGAAUACCAAGGCGCUUGAGAGAACUCGGGUGAAGGAACUAGGCAAAAUGGUGCCGUAACUUCGGGAGAAGGCACGCUGGUGUGUAGGUGAAGUCCCUGCGGAUGGAGCUGAGACCAGUCGAAGAUACCAGCUGGCUGCAACUGUUUAUUAAAAACACAGCACUGUGCAAACACGAAAGUGGACGUAUACGGUGUGACGCCUGCCCGGUGCCGGAAGGUUAAUUGAUGGGGUUAUCCGUAAGGAGAAGCUCUUGAUCGAAGCCCCGGUAAACGGCGGCCGUAACUAUAACGGUCCUAAGGUAGCGAAAUUCCUUGUCGGGUAAGUUCCGACCUGCACGAAUGGCGUAAUGAUGGCCAGGCUGUCUCCACCCGAGACUCAGUGAAAUUGAACUCGCUGUGAAGAUGCAGUGUACCCGCGGCAAGACGGAAAGACCCCGUGAACCUUUACUAUAGCUUGACACUGAACAUUGAGCCUUGAUGUGUAGGAUAGGUGGGAGGCUUUGAAGCGUGGACGCCAGUCUGCGUGGAGCCAACCUUGAAAUACCACCCUUUAAUGUUUGAUGUUCUAACGUUGGCCCCUGACCGGGGUUGCGGACAGUGUCUGGUGGGUAGUUUGACUGGGGCGGUCUCCUCCCAAAGCGUAACGGAGGAGCACGAAGGUUAGCUAAUCCUGGUCGGACAUCAGGAGGUUAGUGCAAUGGCAUAAGCUAGCUUGACUGCGAGCGUGACGGCGCGAGCAGGUGCGAAAGCAGGUCAUAGUGAUCCGGUGGUUCUGAAUGGAAGGGCCAUCGCUCAACGGAUAAAAGGUACUCCGGGGAUAACAGGCUGAUACCGCCCAAGAGUUCAUAUCGACGGCGGUGUUUGGCACCUCGAUGUCGGCUCAUCACAUCCUGGGGCUGAAGUAGGUCCCAAGGGUAUGGCUGUUCGCCAUUUAAAGUGGUACGCGAGCUGGGUUUAGAACGUCGUGAGACAGUUCGGUCCCUAUCUGCCGUGGGCGCUGGAGAAUUGAGGGGGGCUGCUCCUAGUACGAGAGGACCGGAGUGGACGCAUCACUGGUGUUCGGGUUGUCAUGCCAAUGGCACUGCCCGGUAGCUAAAUGCGGAAGAGAUAAGUGCUGAAAGCAUCUAAGCACGAAACUUGCCCCGAGAUGAGUUCUCCCUGAGACUUUAAGUCUCCUGAAGGAACGUUGAAGACGACGACGUUGAUAGGCCGGGUGUGUAAGCGCAGCGAUGCGUUGAGCUAACCGGUACUAAUGAACCGUGAGGCUUAACCUU